UCCAUGAUAGAUCAAGGCUCCUGGAAUGGGCUUUGGUCCAAAGGGAUGGACAAGCAUGUUUUGCCCAUCUGCUCUAGGAUGGGGCUGCGGCCGAUCAGGUUGUUGGUGGGGUAAUGGCCCACCAAGCCUAUAACCGGUACGGGCCGUGAGAGCGGGAGCCCGGAGAUGGGCACUGAGACAAGGGCCCAGGUCCUACGGGGCGCAGCAGUUGCGAAAACUCCGCAAUGCGCGAAAGCGUGACGGGGCUAUCCCGAGUGCCGUCCGCUGAGGAUGGCUUUUCUCCGGUGUAAUGAGCCGGAGGAAUAAGGAGAGGGCAAGACUGGUGUCAGCCGCCGCGGUAAUACCAGCUCUCCGAGUGGUAGGGACGAUUAUUGGGCCUAAAGCGUCCGUAGCUGGUCAGGUAAGUGUCCCGUUAAAUCCGACGGCCUAACCGUUGGACUGCGGGAUAUACUGUUUGACUAGGGGACGGGAGAGGUCGACGGUAUUCCUGGAGUAGGGGUGAAAUCCUAUAAUCCCAGGAGGACCACCAGUGGCGAAGGCGGUCGACUAGAACGUGCCCGACAGUGAGGGACGAAAGCUGGGGGAGCGAACCGGAUUAGAUACCCGGGUAGUCCCAGCCGUAAACGAUGCGGGCUAGGUGUUGGAUCGGCUACGGGCCGAUCCAGUGCCGCAGGGAAGCCAUUAAGCCCGCCGCUUGGGUAGUACGGCCGCAAGGCUGAAACUUAAAGGAAUUGGCGGGGGGAGCACCACAAGGGGUGAAGCUUGCGGUU
rnacentral:rRNA from 1 species